rnacentral:lncRNA from 1 species
UCACCAUGCAAGACGUCGCCACCCCUCUCUAAUUCAACAACGCUGCUCUCCUCCCUCUCUACUGGCGGCGCAGCCUCGCACUACCACCGCGAUAUGGCAUAGUAUCACACAGUGCAGUAAGACAGUACAACGUAGCCUUGUGAGACAGCAUAGCAAGACAACACAGCACAGCUUCGCACUAUCGCCCAUCUCUGUCGGUGAUGUUGCUUUCUACCCUCGAAGUGACACCGCAACUGCGUGCAGAUCUUCCAUCAUUCAUCGGUAACUCGAAGGCCACUGCUCAUAAUCAGUUCAGAAGGGGUUAUGUGGCCACGCACAGUGACCUUAGCUACGAGCAGCUAGCAGUAGCAGUGUGCCAUAUGGUUUGUAAUUUGGAUUGAUCUUUGGACGAGCAACCACCAUGGUUUAUGAUUUGUUUUUUGUGGUUUAUUUUGAUUGCUGACAUGAAGGAUAGCUGCCAUGGAUUUGAGAUGGUUUUUGGGCAUAAAGGAUGGUGAACAUGCCAAAUUUGGUUGAUCUUUGUUGGCUGUUGGAGAGGUGGUAGUGGUUGUUUCCAUGGUUAGGUGAUGUUGGGGUGGUUUUUUAUUAACCAUGGUACUGGUGGAUCUAGUGCUGCUAGUAGUAGAUCUAGUAGUGACAGUGGAUUUGACGGUGAUAGUGAUGAUGGUCGUAGCAGUGGUGAUGGUAGCCGUGGCAGUGUUUCGGUGAUUGUGGUAAUGGAUAGGAUAUGAUGGGGUGGUGUGGUUUGAGGUAUUUGUGAC